CACGGGAGGGUGCAAGCGUUAAUCGGAAUUACUGGGCGUAAAGCGCGCGUAGGCGGCUUAGUAAGUCGGAUGUGAAAGCCCCGGGCUUAACCUGGGAACUGCAUUCGAUACUGCUGGGCUAGAGUAUGGAAGAGGGAAGUGGAAUUCCGGGUGUAGCGGUGAAAUGCGUAGAUAUCCGGAGGAACACCAGUGGCGAAAGGCGACUUCCUGGGGCCAAAUACUGACGCUGAGGUGCGAAAGCGUGGGGAGCAAAACAGGAUUGAGAUACCCCGUGUAGUC
rnacentral:rRNA from 1 species